rnacentral:rRNA from 1 species
GAUGAACGCUAGCGGCAGGCUUAACACAUGCAAGUCGAGGGGCAGCACGGGUAGCAAUACCUGGUGGCGACCGGCGCAAGGGUGCGUAACGCGUGAGCAACAUGCCCUAUACAGGGGGAUAAUCCAGGGAAACUUGGUCUAAUAUCCCAUAGUAUUUAGAGGAGGCAUCUUCUAUAAAUUAAAGCUUCGGUGGUAUAGGAUUGGCUCGCGUGACAUUAGCUAGAUGGUGAGGUAACGGCUCACCAUGGCAAUGAUGGUCUAGGGGUUCUGAGAGGAAGGCCCCCCACACUGGGACUGAGACACGGCCCAGACUCCUACGGGAGGCAGCAGUGAGGAAUAUUGGACAAUGGAUGGAAAUCUGAUCCAGCCAUGCCGCGUGCAGGAAGACAGCCCUAUGGGUUGUAAACUGCUUUUAUAUGGGAGCAAUAAGGUCUACGUGUAGACUGAUGAGAGUACCAUAUGAAUAAGC